rnacentral:rRNA from 1 species
GAUGAACGCUGGCGGCGUGCUUAACACAUGCAAGUCGAACGGACAAGAUGGAGCUUGCUCUAAAUUGUUAGUGGCGGACGGGUGAGUAACGCGUGGGUAACCUGCCUUAUACAGGGGAAUAACGUUUGGAAACAAACGCUAAUACCGCAUAACCUAUGUUUUCUGCAUGGAGGACAUAGCAAAGAUUUAUCGGUAUAAGAUGGACCCGCGUUGGAUUAGCUAGUUGGUGAGAUAAAAGCUCACCAAGGCGACGAUCCAUAGCCGGCCUGAGAGGGUGAACGGCCACACUGGGACUGAGACACGGCCCAGACUCCUACGGGAGGCAGCAGUGGGGAAUAUUGCACAAUGGGGGAAACCCUGAUGCAGCGACGCCGCGUGAAGGAAGAAGGUUUUCGGAUCGUAAACUUCUAUCAGCAGGGAAGAAAAAAAUGACGGUACCUGACUAAGAAGCCCCGGCUAACUACGUGCCAGCCGCCGCCGUAACAC